UACGUAGGGGGCAAGCGUUGUCCGGAUUCAUUGGGCGUAAAGAGCUCGUAGGCGGUUCAGUAAGUCGGGUGUGAAAUCUCCGCGCUCAACGCGGAGCGGCCACCUGAUACUGCUGUGACUCGAGUCCGGUAGGGGAGUGUGGAAUUCCCGGUGUAGCGGUGAAAUGCGCAGAUAUCGGGAGGAACACCUAUGGCGAAGGCAGCUCGCUGGGACGUUACUGACGCUGAGACGCGAAAGCGUGGGGAGCAAACAGG
rnacentral:rRNA from 1 species